ACAGCGCAGGAGCUCUCAGACUACCUCAGAUGCCAAGAGCCUGGUUUGAAUACAAGCCUUGCCAUUGUGUGACUUUGGGCCAGUGUUUCCAGCCAUCAUGUCAGAGCUGAGUGGAGUGGCACUGGGUGCCAAGGCAAACACCCAGCCCAGCUGUGCUGGGAAGAACUGAGCUCCAAUGUGUCUUGUGACCCAGCUCCUCCCACCCACCUGGCUGUGUCUCCUAUCCUGCAGAGAUUUCUGGGGGCUGUUUCCAGUAAACAGAGUGCCAGCACCCACUAACCUGUAAAUAGCACCUUGUUCAGGGGGAGUGAUAUUCUUUGGUAAGUGACCGUAAACUGAUUAUACCAAGUCCUUCAAUGGAGAGAUGGUGGUUAAAAAGCAAAACUGAGGCUGGUAAAUUUUUACCAUUUCUUUGUAGACUGUAUGAUUUGGGGCCUUGCUGCUCAAAAUGUGGUCAGCAGCAUUGACAUCACCUGGGAUCUCAUUACAAAUGCAGAAUCUCAGACCUCACUCCAGAUGUGCUGGAUGAGAAUGGCCAUUUUCACAAGCUCCCCAGGAUAUGUGUGCCUGUUAAAGUUUGAGAAGCACUGAUCGGAGGACUUCGGUUAUAAUCCCACCUCCUUCUAUAAGUGAUUAAAGAAAAUUCACUUAUACUCUCCUUUGAACAGCUGUAUGCUUCUCAAUUUCUCUCUCUCUCUCUCUCUCUCACACACACACACACACACACACACUUUAUUUUUCAAUCUCUAUAGACUUGCUUCUUUGUAAGGCUCUCAAUUUCUCCUCCCCAGUGACACAAGCUUGCAUGUGGAUAUAGCUCGUCAUGGUGCCUAUUUAUCUUCAACUUUAUGCAACCUUAGCACUCUUUUACUCAGAAACCUUUUGACUGGGAGAGCAGGGCAAACUCAAAUCCCUACAGAGACCAGGAAGGCAGCAUGGAUGAGUGCAGAAAGCUACAUUUGUUUCAGAAAGGAAUCAGUGUAUAUUCUUUCAGCAGACACAUUUAGUUUGUUUCUUAUAAGCCACUAGAAGAGUCAUUACUUUCACAAAGUCAUAUGCUUAUUCCCAUUUUUCAUAAAAUAUGGCCUAUCUUCAGUUUUCCCAGUUUUGAUACAGAAAAAAAUAUAAGAAAGAUUUUCUAUUUCCUAUAACUAUAAAAGCCCACUAAUAGCACCAGCACAGCCACCCCUGGGCUUCACACAGGGAGUGGCAGGAGCUGUGCAGAUGGAGAGUGCAUACUGGUGUGAAGGGGGCAAUGGAUCUCAGCUCCAGCCAUUGUCUUCAUGCAGGAAUUUGGGACCAUUUUACCGGAUCCUCCCAUUUCUUCAAGAGAAGCCGGAAAUCUGGAUUUCUAUGUGAAAUCUCCCACUUUUUUAUGCUGGCAACUAAUUUUCUUUAAACACUGUGCCAAACAAAACAUACCUGCAGGCCAAAAUCUACACCCUCUGGGCUGGAUUUCAAUGUCUCUUAAACUCUCAACAGAGAGCAUCUUACUGUUUCAGUUCAGGGUAGAUGUCUACCCAUGGUCCCAUCGAGUGGGGUCUGGAUAUGGAAUCAGCUAGAAGAAGCAUAGUCUAUGCCCAUUCUUUCAGCAGGGACUGUGGGCAGGAAACCAUUUCCAAAGAAGCAGGCAUGAGUUGGUGGCCAUACAAAUAUAUAUGUUAUAUUGAUAAAUAUAAAAACAGGAGAUUCUGGGGGACCACAAGUUUUUACAAAUUAGGCUUAUUUUAGGAUAAAUUCACCCUUGUUAGUGUGCAGUUCUGUGAGUUUUGAUAUACAUAUGCAGUCAAGUAACCACUCCCACAAUUAAGAUACAGAAUAAUUCCAUCACCCCCCAAAUUUCUUGUAUGCCCCUUUAUAGCUAGCCCCUGACCCUAACCUCUGGCAAUCACUAAUAUAUUCUCUUUUUCUAUAGGCUUGCUUUUUUUCAAAAUGUCAUAUACAUGGAAUCACACAGUUUAUAGCCUUUUGAGUCUGGCUUAUUUUACUCAGCAUAAUGCCUUUGAGCUUUAACCAUGUAAUUUCAUGUAUCAGUAGUUCAUUCCUAUGUAUUGCUAAGUAAUUUUCCACUGUAUAGAUGCACCACAGUUUGUUUAUCCAUUCACCAAUUAAAGCCAUAAUCAACUUCCAUGUAGAAGUUUGUGUGUGAACACAGUUUUAAUUUAUUUGGGGUUACUACCUAGGAGUGAGAUUCUGGGUCUUAUGGUAAGCAUACAUUUUACUAAGAAACUAUAAAACUCUUUUCCAAAGUGGCUGAACCAUUUGACAUUUCUAACAGCAAUAUUUGAAAGUUCCCAUUGCUCUGUAUCCUCUCCAGUACUUACAUGCUCAGCAUUUUGGUUUGGUCUGGUUUCAUUGUUUCUGAGCUCUUCUGAUAGAUGUGGAGUACACCCCCAUUUUGGAUGAAUUGUGCCAAAUGUGUAGACCAUCCUCAAAAUCUAAGGUCUCAGUAAAAACAAUUAAACAUGAUUUCUGAUAUAAUGUCUUAUCCUUGAAAACCCUGACCCAUCCAUCUUCAGCACAUUCACAUGUGUAAUAAGGUAAGUGAUUUUUAAUUCCACCAGGUUUAAAGACCCCUGACGUGACUUAUUGCCAUUCUGCUACUGAGCCUUGAGAGAUUAUGGUAAGUGCCAAGAAAAAAAAAAUGACUUUGAACUGCUCUUUCACCAGUUAAAAAUAACACUGAAACCAAAUGUAAACAUAAAAGAAGUGGUCAGAUUCGGGUUACAUAUUAACGGUGUUUGGUCAGGCUGGAGCUGAGGCACAGCAGCAGAGAAUGCCUUUUACUUAUCACUGUUUCCAAACCUCCCUACCUGGACUAGGCUUGACUGGAUUUACAAGAGACCUUUUGAAAAGAUGCAGAGAAGGCAAGCAGCACACAUUUCCUGGUAAUAAAUUUUAAAGGUUGCUAAAACAUUCCAGAGAUUUUCACUCAACAUUCCUCUGGCCAACACAUCUGCAAUCUGCCAAUCCUUAAAAAUAGGUGUUUUUGCAUUUUAAUCUCACAAACAUCUUUGAAAAUGCAUUUCUUCUCUGCCCCUGUGUUGGACAAAUCCAGCUUUUUCCAUUUUCUAAAAACCACAGAAAUAUAAUGCUGCUUAAUUCAUACAAGACUGAGCUAACUGGAGUUAAAAUAAAAUUUCUGAGAGUUUGUUUGGCUCACUCUUCCCUACCAGAUGAUUCCAUUCUUAAAACGGUCCUGUGAUUAUAUUCUCUCAUUACAGAGGUGUCCAGAAAAAAAAUAAGGAGUGCAGUUCUGAAAUUAUAUAAAAGCAAAAUUAUUACUCUAAACGUAAGAGCUGUGAUAGAUCGUGUCAUUGACCAUGGUUCUUUUCCCCUGACACACACGUCCCCACCACCCACCCACUGUAUCCAUAUGCCUUUUGCCAUAUGACUUUGCAGCUCUCCCCACUAAAGGGGCAGCCAUGCGAUUUGCUUUGGCCAAUGAAAUGAGGCAGUAGUGGUGGUAUCCUAGUUCUGAGCCUAGGUCUCAAGAAGUCUUAUGUGUUUCUGCUUAUCCUCUUAUACCUCUGCCAUCACCAUGAGCCAAACAUCCCCCAAGUAGCCCACUGGUCCCAGGACAAGGAGGGAGACAUGAAGCAGAGCUCAUCCAGCUGCUGCAGCCCCACUUGACCCAGAGACCUACACUGGGAAGCAGAGCUGCCCAGUCAAGUCCAACCUGGAUGUGUGGAACCCCAGCCAACCUGAUGCAUGAGCAGGAGAUCAGCUUAAUAUUGAAUCCUAGCCUCAAUGCUUUGGAUUUGUGCCAAGAAAAAUAACCUGAUCCCCAGAAUCAUUGAGAAUUGACGGGGGUCCUCAGGCUGUGACUCUGGACAGUGAACAUUGGUGGAAAUUGGUUAUCCCCAAUUUCCAGGUGAGAACACCAAGGUUCCUCUCUAACAGACAGGAAAAUCCAAAUCUACUCAUUGUAAUCCCAUAUCUUCUUCCUCUUUGCCUCAAAACAUCCCUAAGGGCCCCUUCAAGCUCACAGUCUGCGCUUUUGGGCCUGCCUCCCACAUCCCUGUCCCCAUUUAGGCAGCACUCAUUGUAAAGUUUAAGCUACCUGCUGCAGCAUCUUGGUCCCCAGAGACAUUUGAGAGGCUCACUUGGUACCUGAGGACUGCAGUGAUGAAAG
rnacentral:lncRNA from 10 species